rnacentral:rRNA from 1 species
UACGGGAGGCAGCAGUGGGGAAUUUUGGACAAUGGACGCAAGCCUGAUCCAGCCAUUCCGCGUGCAGGACGAAGGCCUUCGGGUUGUAAACUGCUUUUGUACAGAACGAAAAGGUCUCUAUUAAUACUAGGGGCUCAUGACGGUACUGUAAGAAUAAGCACCGGCUAACUACGUGCCAGCAGCCGCGGUAAUAA